CAAAAGGCACAGCUCUUGUGGGACAGCAAAGGAAAACAGAAUCAUAGAAAUUCAGAGCUGGAAGAUGACUUAGCCUCUGAGGAAAAUCAUUCCCAGGGACAGUGCGCUUUUUUUUUUUUUUUUUUGGUAACUUUUUAUUUUGUAUUGGGUAUAGCCGAUUACAAUGUUGUGAAAGUUUCAGGUGAAUAGCAAAGGGACUCAGCCAUAUGCGUACAUGUAUCCCAUGGAAUUUUCCAGGCAAGAAUACUGGAGAGGAUUCUUUACCACUAGUCCCAGCUGGGAAGGAUUCUUCACCACUGAGCCACCAGGAAAGCCCUUUGGGAGAACCGAGGCCUCAAGAAGCUAAGAAGUCUGCCCAAAGGCUCACAACUAUUAAAGGACAGAGCUAGGAUCUGGCAAAGAGCCCUAAUGUAAUAAGUAUGGUCCUAUGGCUGAACUUCACCCCUGACUCAACUCCCAGGAGAUGUUAGCUUUCAAAGGCCCGGUUCCCAGAAAACCUUCCACCAUCCUGGCAUCUAGGAAGCUGCCUCCGUCUCUUAUACAAAACACUACUGUGCCCACCUGAUCCCACUUUUUUUUUCAGUCUCCAAAAACGUGAUCGUCUCUCAUGAUGCCAAUUAUGCAGAAACAAUGGACUUCUGCUCAAUAGUUAACUAUUCACCAUGUAUGAAAGAAAAUCCUGGAAUGUUUACUUCAAAUAUGAAAGUGCCGGCUCAAAGGAAAACUCUUUUAAUAAUUCUCUGGAGUAGGGGAAGAGUUCUAGAGGAAGCCUUCUUGCAACUUUAACCAAAAUGUCGUGGAUUGUGUAUACGAUAAGAGCAGAAUGUCUUGAUCCCAGGAGAAUACACAGAAACAGAGGAGGUAAUUGGAUUAAUCAUUUUGACACCUGAAAGGAUGACAAGAAACUUUUAACCUACCAAUAAUCAGCGGAGGGAGCUGUCAUUGUAGAUGGCUCAGCCAAACUAUGGGGUAUCAUCACAUUAGCUAACUGCCUGGCCAAUUAGAGACGUGUAAUUCUUUCAUAUACUUAGCUUGAAAGUGAAGAUGAUUCAAAACAGUUUCCUUGUCUCUGACACGUAUCCAAAUUUUUAAUAACAGCUAAGCCCUUUACUAAGUAAUUGAAUAAAAUAAUGCAUUCAAGCCCC
ensembl:lncRNA